CCUACGGGUGGCAGCAGUGGGGAAUAUUGCACAAUGGGGGAAACCCUGAUGCAGCCACGCCGCGUGUGUGAAGAAGUAUUUCGGUAUGUAAAGCUCUAUCAGCAGGGAAGAAGGUGACGGUACCUGAGUAAGAAGCCCCGGCUAACUACGUGCCAGCAGCCACGGUAAUACGUAGGGGGCACGAGUUAUCCGGAUUUACUGGGUGUAAAGGGAGCGUAGACGGUGAGACAAGUCUGAAGUGAAAGCCCGGGGAUCAACCCCGGGACUGCUUUGGAAACCGCCUGACUGGAGUGCUGGAGAGGCAAGCGGAAUUCCUAGUGUAGAGGGGAAAUGCGUAGAUAUUAGGAAGAACACCAGGGGAGAAGGCGGCUUGAUGGACAGUAACUGACGUGGAGGCUCGAAAGCGUGGGGAGCAAACAGGAUGAGAUACCCUGGUAGUC
rnacentral:rRNA from 1 species